UACGGAAGGCAGCAGGGGGAAUAUUGCACAAUGGGCGAAAGCCUGAUGCAGCUAUGCCGCGUGUAUGAAGAAGGCCUUAGGGUUGUAAAGUACUUUCAUCGGGGAGGAAAAAACAAAACUAAUAAUUUUAUUUCUUGACGUUACCCGAAAAAGAAGCACCGGCUAACUCCGUGCCAGCAGCCGCGGUAAUACGGAGGGUGCUAGCGUUAAUCAGAAUUACUGGGCGUAAAGAGCACGUAGGUGGUUUUUUUAAAGUCAGAUGUGAAAUCCCUGGGCUUAACCUAGGAACUGCAUUUUGAAACUGAAAUACUAGAGUAUCGUAGAGGGAGGUAGAAUUCUAGGUGUAGCGGUGAAAUGCGUAGAUAUCUGGAGGAAUACCUGUGGCGAAAGCGGCCUCCUAAACGAAUACUGACACUGAGGUGCGAAAAGCGUGGGGAGCAAACAGGGAUUAGAUACC
rnacentral:rRNA from 1 species